rnacentral:ncRNA from 2 species
UCCUUAUAAAGAGUUCGGGGGAGGAACUGGUCCUAUGAUCCCGCAGCAACCGGUGGUAUACACAAAGGUGCUAAGUCCAGCAAGCCAAGCUUGAAAGAUGAGGA